rnacentral:tRNA from 1 species
GGAGAGUUGUCCGAGAGGUCGAAGGUGCAGCACUCGAAAUGCUGUGUUCCCACAAGGAACCUAGGGUUCGAAUCCCUAACUCUCCGCCA